UACGUAGGGUCCGAGCGUUGUCCGGAUUUAUUGGGCGUAAAGAGCUCGUAGGCGGUUCCGUAAGUCAGAUGUGAAAACUCAGGGCUCAACCCGGAGACGCCAUCUGAUACUGCGGUGACUGGAGUCUGGUAGGGGAACACGGAAUUCCUGGUGUAGCGGUGAAAUGCGCAGAUAUCAGGAGGAACACCGAUGGCGAAGGCAGCUCUCUGGUCGACCUCUGACGCUGAGACGCGAAAGCGUGGGGAGCGAACGGG
rnacentral:rRNA from 1 species